CAGAUUGCGAUUCGUGCUCGCGUCGUCUGUCAAAGAUAAAUUUUUCAUGUAUACUAGAAGCAAGGAGAUUGAAAAUUAUUCACAGGAAAAACAGUUUGUUUUGAGGCAAACAAAAUCAACAUUCAAUUAAAUAAAAAAGAGAGUUAAGGAAUUUACGUGGUAAGAUUUUAAUAGAACAAGCGAAAAAAGGAUCUGAAAAAGCAUUUAUGAGGGGGAGGACAGGGGGUAGUCCAAAUAAUUAUGACGUCUUGAAAGGCUAUUAUAAUUUUUUUCUUGACGCCUACAUCGACACGUCCAAAUAAUUAUGACUUCUUGAAAGGCUAUUAUAAUUUUUUUUCUUUUCUGACGCCCUUUACACGUCAAGACGUCAUAAUUAUUUGGAUCAUGACGUCUUGAAAGGCUAUUAUAAUUUUUUCUUUAACGCCUUACAUCACAGUCAAAAUAAUAUAUGACGUCUUGAAAGGCUAUUUAUAAUUUUUUUUCUUUUGCACGCCCUUACAUCGUCCAAGACGUCAAUAAUUAUUUGGAUCGUCCACAGGGGCUUGUUACAAUUGCGGGUUUACUAUCCAUACGAACCCUAAAAAAACACGUGUUUUUUAGGGGUUCGUUGAUGGAUAGUAAAACCCUGGCAAUUAGUAACAAGCCCUUGUGGAUCGUCGAUGUAAGGCGUCAAAGAAAAAAAAUUAUAAUAGCCUUUUCAAGACGUAUAAUUAUUUGGACUAGACAGGAGGAGUUCUUUUUGUCGAGUUAUUUCAAGUAUCGACUAACAAAAAAGGUGAGUAUCGAGCUAUUAAAAAGUGAGUAUCGAGUUACAAAAAGCGAGUAGCGAGCUAACAAAAGUGAGUAGCGAGUUAUAAAAAGUGAGUAGCCGAGUAUAAAAAGUGAGUAGCGAGUUAACCAAAAAGUGAGUAGCGAGUUAAUAAAAAGUGAGUAGCGAGCUAACAAAAAGUGAGUAGGGUUAAUAAAAAUGAGUAACGAGCUAACAAAAACGAGUAUCGAGUUAUAAAAAAAUGAGUAUCGAGUAACAAAAGCGAGUAUCGAGUUAUAAAAAUGAUAUAGAGUUUAAUAAAAGUGAGUACUCGAGUAACAAAAGGUACUUAUCAUUUUUAUAUCCAGCGCAUCAUAGUCAUUGCCAAAGCGAUAAUAUUCAAUUUUAAUUCAUUAAUUUUAAAUUGAUAUAUUUGUUUGCCAUUUUGAAAGAACUAAUGUUAAAGUAAUAUACAAAAUUAAUUCAUUCUUAUAAAUGCCAUACGACUGUGCCAAGACCCCCAUGUGUGUUUAAGUUUGCUUACGCGCCAUUUCGUUGCUGUCACAGCCAACUUACUUACCCCUAAGGAUCAUGUGUCUAUAUUAAACUAAUAAAAGAGACAUCUUUAUUAAAAUAGUACGUCACUUCUGAAAUUUCCAAUUAGUUAAAAAAUAAUAAAUAAUAGUGAAAAACCUAUCGUAAAAUACACCUUUUCUUUUACAAUUUAAGGAACUGAAAAUAGAUACAAAGAAAAGAAUUUUACUUUUCCCAAAUUAAAAUUUUUUGAAAUUUUGUUUAAAAAAAAAAAAAAAACUUAUUGGGGGGGGGGGGACCAAAAAAAGUUUUAAAAUUAUUUAUUUUUUUUUUUUUUAUUUUUCCCCUCCCAAAUUUGGGAAAAUUUUAAAAAAUUUUUUUUAAAUAAAAUUUUGGGAAUUCAAAACCUUGACUUGCUUAAUUUUUGCUCUAGUACUGAUAUAGUGAUGAAUUUCAUUACUUGUUCCUUGUGAAAAAUACUUUAAACCAUUACCAUAACGCUGUUUGGAGAUGAAUUAAAAUUGAGGAAUGGAAAUGGGCGAAUGUGUCAAAGAGACAAACAACCCGACCAAAGAACAGACAACAGCAGAAGGUCACAAACAGGUCUUUCAAUGCAGAGCAAAUUCCCAGACCAGGAGGCGUCCUUCAGCUGGCCCAUAAACAAAUAUCUAAUACUACAUGAACUAGUUCAUUGCUAAUGAACACCAUACUCAACUCUGAAUUGUACACAAGAAACAAAAAAUUAAAAAUAAUACAAGUCUAAUUAGUAUUCUUCUUUUACAUGCUUAGUGCUUGUAUUGGAAACGAACAACAUAACUCCGGGAGGACUGAGCGCUAGUAAUUUCAAUUUGUAUAUUGGUGUUUGUAAUAAAAGAUUUUAUCAAAAUAAUUACACUUUGUAUUUUUAUGAAUUAAAUCUACAAAUUAGCUAAUUAUGGCGAAUAUUUAUAAAAACGCUUAAGCAAUAAUCAGGAAACAUACACUAUAUCUGUAUUAGUUUGUUAAAAAAUGGGCAUAUUUAUAUUGUAGUAAAGGACCUACAUGUAGUUUAUUGAGAUCCUCAUCAGAUAUCCCUGGCCAUAAUUUUCCUUUGUCAUAUAAAGAAAUGCUCGAAUUUAAUAUGUACGUACGGGAAACAAGGAACAUUAUCCCCAGACAAAAAAAAAUUAUUCUAAAUACAUAGAUAUAGGAAAAUGUGGUAUAUGAGUGCAAUGAGACAGACUCUCCAUCCAAGUAACAAUUUAUAGAGGUAAAUCAUUGUAGGUAUAAAAAAAAACAGCUUCAACACGGAGCCUUGGUUCACACCGAACAACAAGCUACACGUUCAUAAAAGAUGAAUUUUAUUACAAAGGAUAAUCAUCAUGAAUUAUACUGGAAUUGUCCUUUGACCUCACUGAUAUUAAUAUGUUUAUGUGUUGAUCUGUGAUGGUAUAUAUGUUAAUGAAAUCCUUCACCGAAUACGGGACCACAAUAUUACUAGUGGUAGACCCCAAUGUUCAACAGUCUUCAAUUUCUACCAAAUAUGGGCUGUCAAAAAAAAAAUGCUAACAUUCCAAUUUUCAAUAAUUUAUCCUGAUUUAGAGUAAUUUAUAAAUAAAGUAAAACGACUAUCCUUUGCAAUGAAUUCCAGUGGCGGAUGCAGGAAUUUUCGAAAGGGGGGGUGCUAGCCCAGGGCAAAGGGGGGUGCAGGGGGGUGCAAACAUAUGUCCCGAUUCAAAUGCAUUGAUCGGCCAAAAUAAAGGGGGGGGUGCGGACCCCCGGAACCCCCCCUCUGGAUCCGCCACUGAAUUCAUAUAAAAUAGCAAGGUAUCAAAUUGUAUUGAAAGCCUUCAGAAUUAGUAAGUAAUGAAAAGGGAAACAAACCAUGAGAUGAUCAUUCGUUGAAAAACCAAAAAUAUAAAUGGUAGAUUAGCUUUUGUUACUCGAUACUCACUUUUUAUAACUCGAUACUCGCUUUUUGUUACUCGCUACUCACUUUUUAUAACUCGCUACUCGCUUUUUGUUACUCGCUACUCACUUUUUAUGGUUUUAUAACUCGAUACUCACUUUUUAUAACUCGCUACUUGCUUUUUGUUACUCGCUACUCACUUUUAUAACUCGAUACUCGCUUUUUAUAACUCGCUACUCACUUUUUGUUACUUGCUCCUCACUUUUUAUAACUCGAUACUCGCUUUUUGUUACUCGCUACUCACUUUUUAUAACUCGAUACUCACCUUUCAUAACUUGAUACUCGCUUUUUGCAACUUGAUACUUGCUACUCGACUAAAAGUAAAUCUCAGACAGGGGGGUACUCCUUUUCCUUCUCUCACCCAUUUUCUCCUUUCUCCUACCCCUCUUCUCCUUAUUUUUUUUUUUUUUUUAAUUUACCGGAAAAAAAAGAUAUUUUAUUUCUUCAUAUUUAUUUUUUUUCUCCAACUUCUCCUUUUUCCCAACCUUCCUCUCCUUUCACCUACCCCUUUCUCCUACCUCCUUUCUCCCUGUCUCCCUUAUCCCUGUCCUCCCCCUCAUUUAUAUCUGAUACUGAUCAUAACUCAUGAAUAAAAAUGGUAUCUGGUCUCAGUUGGGCUGCUGUGUCAGGAUUUGACUGUCAAAGUGAUACAAAACUCUAGAAUUCUUCUGUAUAUACAAAUACACCGUGACAGUAGCUAAUCAAGAAAUUAAUAAAAGGGGGAACGUCUAGUGCCUGUGGUCCUAGUGUAACAGUAGUCCAAAUAAUUAUGACGUCUGGCAAGGCCAAGGCUUCAUAAUUAGUUGGAAUAGUGUAACAGUAAAUUUGGUCCGGUUGUAAAAUUUGUUCUCCAGACUUUUUUUCCUAGUUAAUUAAGUCCAUGUCCAUGAUUUUACUAGGAAUUAAAGUCCCAGGACAAAUGUUUCUAGGAAAAUCAGUCCAUAGCUAGUAAUUUAUGUUUGUAACUUGUUUUCCUAGGAAAAUAUGUCACAAGACUUGUUUUUCUAAUAGUUUUUUUGUAUCAUAAAAUAUAUUUAAAAUAGAAGAUUUUUUUUUUAUAGAUAAGAUUGGAAAAUAGAAGAAUUUUUUUUCCAAUAAAAAUGAAGAAUAUUUCCUUAAUAACCUAAUUAUUAAAAACAUAAAUAUUCAGUUUCCUUUGCUUAUAACAUUUUUUAUAAUAAAAGACAUGGACAUUUUUAGUCCAAAUAAUUAUGACGUCUUGAUAGGCUAUUAUAUUUUUUAUCUUUGACGCCUUACUUCGUCAAAUUAUGACGUCUUGUAAGUUGAACGGCUUUUAUAUUUUUUUCUUUGACGCCUUACUUAGUUCGUCGAAGUAAGGCUUCAAAGAAAAAAAAUAUAAUAGCCUUUCAAGCUGUCAUAAUUAUUUGGACUAGGACAUUUUUACCUAGGAAUUCAAUACUAAUGACAUGGACAUGAUUUUCUAGGAAAAUAUGACAUGGACAUGAUUUCCUAGGAAAAUUAGUCUGGAGACAAAUUUUAUUUACAGCUAAUUUCCUAUAAAUGCAUGUAAUGCAAAACUUUGGUUGGCUUGCCUUCUUUGUUUGUAUAAUUGUUUAUACAAGCUUUGCUAAUAUGAUUGACAUGAUGGUCAUCUUUAUAUAAUAUAUAUAGGCAUAGUUUAACCUGUAUAUUUAAUAUUUGAAUUUAAUUGGAUAUUAUCCUAAUGAGUGUACAAUUUAAAUACAAAGCAAGCAAGCUAACUUAAGUCUUGCUCUACAUGCUUUAGGAAAUUAGCUGUAACAGAUUGAUACACAACUCUUUCGUUUUGUCUAUAACAAUGUUAAAACAUAUUACAUUCAUAUUCACUUUUAAAAAUUAAAGGCAUAGACAUUUAAACCUAGGACUUCUAAUGACAUGGACAUGACUUUGUGGGAAAAUUAAAAGUCUGGGGACAUAAAUUUUAUCAAAAAUUUAACUAUGUGACUCUUAAACAUUACUAAAACAUAAGAUUUAAAUUUGCAAAUGCAAGUAAUUGAAUCUUUUAUAGGAUUUUAUAGGACAUGAUUACCUAGGAAAAUUUGUCUGGGGACAUAUAUAACUAAUAUCGGACUAAAUAUAUACUAGUAAAUUCUGUAACCAUGGACUUUUUAUAAUAAUAAUUUUAUUUGCAAAAAUACACCCAUAUGGGUCAAGCAAACACAAAUACAACAUUUAAUACAGACAGUGAAGAAUUACAAAUAUAAACAUAAAAAAAAACAUAGUUAUAAAUGGUAAUUAAUGUAGCCUUUGAUGGACAUGGACCUCAUUUUCGCAAUUCUAAUGAUUGCUUUAUAAAGUCACCAAUUUCUGUCAAAAGCUCAGAUUUAGGAAUUAAAAGUUGUUUUAGCUUUAAAAGUGGUUGAUAAUUUGUAAAAUCAGGAUUUAAAUUAUUAAUCUUUAAAAAUAAGCAAUCUCUUAAAGUUGAGUUUAGUUUGCAGUAUAGUAAAAAAUGGUAUUCAUCAUCAAUUUUAUUACAAAGUUUACAUAACCUUUGAUCUCUGGGUACAUUUUUAUAUCUUCCCACUUCAACUUCUAGGUUAUGGUCACUAACCCUUAAUUUAGAAAUUAAUUGUCUGGUUUUAAAAUUUGAUUCUUUUAAUAAAUAAUUUUCAAUUUUUAUCUCAGUUUUUAUUUGACCAUAUAGAAAUAAUUUCGAACUGUCUGUUAUAGAAGAAAGUUUAUUCAAGACUUUUUUUGUAUAAAAUUCAUGUGAUACCUGUUUAAACUUCAUCUUUAAGGAAUAUUUAAUUUUAUUGUAUGGUUUAUCACAAGUUUCAAAAUCUUUAGCAUUUAAUCCAGUCUCUUUAAAAAUAUUUAGAGCAAAUGUAUACCAACUAUGAAAACCAUCAUUAUGCAGGGACUUAUUUAAUUCAUAGGCUUCUUUUAACAGAGGAUUAAUAUCAUGGGUAUGAAAUCUACAGAAAUAUAGCAUAACUUGUGGUUUAAUAAAUGAAGCCAUAGAAAAUCUGCCCAGUUCUGUUUUGGCUGAAAUAUUACAUGCAGUUUUUCCUAAGCCCUAGGACAGAUUUACAGUAUUUAUUAUGAAUCAUUUCAUAGCAAAAUUUAUCUUCUAACGACAAAGUAUCACAAACAGAACCAUGUUGUUCUGAACGUUUCAAAGAUUUAAACAUGGAUAAAUAAUCUUCCAUAAACCAUACCUCACUAUUAUAUAAUAAAACAGGUCUUAUUAAGACAUCAAAAAGUUUGCAUGAUAAAUUAACAGGGAUGGAUUGAAAGUUAGAAAAUCUACUUUUUAAAGCAAAUAGGACCUUCAAUCCCUUUUUUUGAUAGUUCUUGGAUAGCAUUUUUAAAAUUACCCUUAUAGUUAAUAAUGUUUCCUAAAAAAUUGUAUUCUUUAGUCUCAUUUAAUUGGAUGUUUUUAUAGCAUACCACAGGGGUGGGGAGAAAAUUUAUUCUGAAACGUCAUAACUUUAGUUUUUUUAGUAUUAACUGUUAAUUGCCAGUCAUAGCAGUACUUCUCUAGUUUAUUUAUUGCAUUCUGCAGUCCUAUAUGUGAACUUGACAUUAUUACCAAAUCGUCUGCAAAACUUAAGCUGGACAAUUCAGAUUUUUGAAGGACUAAAGGUUUACAAGUAUUGUCAAAAAUCUGAUGUAUAUCAUUAAUAAAACAAUUAAAAAUAGUAGGGCUUAAACUAUCCCCUUGCUUAACACCUCUUUCCAAUAUGAAGGAUUUAGAAAUUUUAUUAUCAAUUUUAAUAGAAGAUUCUGUUAAGUUAUACAUAUCACUAAUUACCUCAUAAAAUUUUUUCCCUAGCCCAUUUUUUAUGAGUUUGUAUCGUAACCCAUUAUGCCACAAAGUGUCAAAUGCUCUGCGUAAAUCAACAAAGCAGGCAAAUAUCUUUUCUUUCUUUUUAUUUACAUAUUUUGAAAUUAAAGAUUUUAAUAUAAACAAACUAUCUGUGGUUCUAUGAUUGACUCUAAAUCCAAACUGUUGAUUUGCAAAAAUGUUUUCAUAAUGUAAUGUUAGUCUAUUAUUUAAUGCAGAGCUAAAGAGUUUUGCAAUACAAUUUUGGAGAGAUAUACCCCUAUAAUUAUUAAGAUCAGUACAGUCUCCAGAUUUAAAAAUUAAUAUUGUGUAUGACUUUCUCCAUUGAAUCGGAUAUUUACCUGUUUCUAAAAUUAAAUUAAAAAGUUUAGUUAUGGAUUUACAUGUAACAUAACUGCUAUAUUUAAUGACUUCAUUUGCAAUUCUAUCUGGUCCUGCACUUUUCCCCAUUUUUAAUUUGUUUAUACACUUUUUAACUUCUGUUAUAGUGAAAGGUGCAUCUGUCAAUACAUUUUCCUUUAAAAAUAUUUUUAUAAUCUUUAACAUAUGCAUCUAUUUUAUCCAUAAAAGGUACAUUUAUAUGUUCAGGUUUCCCCUGGGACUGAAAAUGUUGACUUAAAUUUCCCAUAUUAAUAAGUUUACUUAAGUUUGAAGAACUACUAUCAUCAUUUUUUAAGUGAAUUUAAAUGCUGCCAGUACUGUUUUGGAUCAGUUUCUUUCCAAUUUAAAAGUUUAUCAUAAAUAUUUUUCUUAAAUAGAUAUUUCUUCCUUUUUAUCAUCUUUUUAAGAUUCUUACAUUGAUAAAAAAAAAUUAUGACGUAGCUGCAAAUCAAAUGGUUUAGAACGCAUUUUAUUGCCUAAAUCAACCACUGUUUUUUUUCAAAUCGUUAACUUCAUUGUCUGACCAUGAUUUCUUCUUUUUUAUUUUUACUUUUUUGUGUCUUAUUAUUUUACAGGACGUUUUUGCCAAAUUAUCAAAAAUAUUUGUUAGUUGUUCUGAGGCUUUAUUGAUGCCAUUGCUGUUUUCAUCAAAAAUAUUAUUUUCAAAAGAGACUAUCUUAUGUAAUACAUCACAAUCACUAAUAGUGUCGAUUAAUUUGUUUUUAGAAAUAGCUUCCCAUUUGUAUGUACACUGUAAAGGUAUAAAAUUAGAAGAAUCUUCCUCAAAAUCAGGAGUAAUAUUACAAUAUAUAUGAACAGAAAUCUGUGAGUGAUCUGAUAAAUAUGUGGCACUAUCAACUUGAAAAAAAUUAAUAGAAGUUAAGAGGUCCAUGUCCGCCAAAGCAUAAUCAACAACACUUGAUCCAUAUGACUUAUGGCAAGUAAAAUUCCCCAAAAUAUCACCUACAAAGCGACCAUUUAACACACGGAGCUGGGAAGCAAUGCAGAGGUCUAUGAGACCUUGACCUUGAGUAUUAAAAAUGUUAUCUCGUGUAUUUCUGAGAAUAGUACAAUCUUCACUAUAAUCAUCAGGCAGCACAUUUGCAGAGAGUCAAGAGACUAUUUUAAAUCUUGCUAAUAUUGUCCGCCCUGACAUAUUUUACCAGGACAAAUUUAUCACUCACACUUGUACUUGUUCGCCCUGGAUCAAUUUGCUCUGAUUUUUUUUUGUACUCCAGUUGCAUAAUGUUAAUUAUUUGAACAUUACAUGUUAAAGUUUGUUGAAAAAUUUGCUGAAUUUUUGUAUUGCCACAACCAAUUUGUUAUUUCCCCUAUUUGCUUAGUCACUGUCAUGAUAGUAGAACACUGGAGUACAAUGUAUUAAUUUAUAUUCAUUGCUUUUUUUUAACAAAAUAUAAAUUUGUUUUUUAAUACAAGUCUCAGAAUAUAUACAAAAUGUAAUUUUAAACGAACUUGUAAAUCCUUGUAUUAAAUUCCUGUUUUCGUGAUUUACAGUUCAUACAUCCAUGACAUCAUUGUUUUUAUUAAUUCCAAGCUGACUACUAGCUUAUAAAUCAAAACAAAAAGUUUUUUUUUUUAUUAUUGAUCCAUCAAAAGACAAUUAUCACAAAAAUCAGUGACAAUAAUUUACAUUUGUUUAAAUAAACCAAUUUUUCAAGACGUUUCGGCCGAAACGUCUUGAAAAAUUGGUUUAUUUAAACAAUUAUAUAAAGUAUGUUCCCUAUUGGAAUUUUGAAAACAAGGAAUAAUUUACAUGUUAUUGAACAAUUAACUUUCCUAAAAACUUUUAAAUAUUUAUGUUUUUUUUAUAAAUUUUAAGCUAUACAAUUCUUACUUGCAUCUCUGAAAUGUGCUUCUAUGUGGUUUUGUUAGCAAUUUCUGUACAGGUCUGCUAAAGGCUCAAAUUGACAUUUCACCCAAUUUCACCAUUUUCCCUCCAAAAUUUGGGUUUUAAGGCAAAAAUUUUAUUUUUCCUUAUUGGUGACCCUUGUAUUUGCCAGGGACGCAUACAUGUAUAUAUAAGUCCUUGUAUUUGCUUAAUAUUUGAAGCUGUAUUUCAGCUUUGUACAUUACAGAUUUGGACCAGGUCACACCUGAGGUGUCACAGACAGUUUUUAUUUGAUAUCCCAUAAAAAUAUGUCAGCACCUCUAUUUUCCCUAUCAUUUCAUUGAAAAUGGUCCCUUUAACAUGCUUGUACCUAUUUAAAGUAAAAUUUUGAGCUUAAAUGGUCUGGAACCCCUAUUUUUUUUUCGACAAAUUUGAGGUACUCUUUGUAAAGAUUAAAAUAAUACGGCAUUCUGAUAGAGACUUUGAAUAAGUCUGAGCCAUCUUAACUGUGUAAAAUCAAAAGUAGCAGCACGAAAUAAAGUUAAAAUGAAUAUGAGUCCCCUGUAUUAUAUUUUAAACACCGCUUUUUUGAUGAUCAAGUAAUUCCUAAAUGAAUACUGGAAAAUAGCUGUAGAAUGCUCUCCGAACAUAAAAUUUGCAUCAAAUAAUAAAAAAGCUUCAUUUUAAUCAACAUAGAAAUAUGUUUCGAAUUUGAUGAUUUAUUGGGUAUAUAUGAUAUAUUGCCUUCACUCAGUUAUAAACUAGAAAAAAGUAAUGUUUAGCUCACCUAGCCCAAAGGGCCUACUGAGCUUUUCCCAUCACUUUGCUUCCGGCGUUGUUACCUUUACAAAAAUCUUCUAGAACUCUGAAACUACUGGGCCAAAUUAAACCAAACUUGGCCACAAUCAUCAUUGUGGUAUCUUGUUAAAAAAAUAUGUCAGAUGACCCGGCCAACCAGCCAAGAUGGCCGCCAUGGCUAAAAAUAGAACAUAGGGGUAAAAUACAGUUUUUGGCUUAUAACUCAAAAACCAAAGCAUUUAGAGAGCAUAUAUCUGACAAGGGUAUAAUUGGUAUAAUUGUUUAACAGGUGAAGAUCUAUCUGACCUGAAAUUUUCAGAUGAAUCAGACAACCCAUUGUUGGGUUGCUGCCCCUGAUUUAGUAAUUUUAAGGAAAUUUUGCUGUUUUUGGUUUUUAUCUUUAAUAUUAUUAUAGAUAGAGAUAAACUGUAAAAAGCAAUAAUGUUUAGCAAAGAAAGAUUUACAAAUAAGUCAACAUGACCGAAAUGGUCAACAAGGUCAAUUAAUCCCCUAUGGAGUUAUUGUCCUUUAUAGUCAUUUUUUAACAAUUUUCAUAAAAUUUUGUAAAUUUUUACUAACAUUUUCCACUAAAACUACUGGGUCAAGUUCAUUAUAUAUAGAGAUAAUUUUAAGCAGCAAGAAUGUUCAGUAAAGUAAGAUGUACAAACACAUCACCAUCACCAAAACACAAUUUUGUCAUGAAUCCAUCUGCUUCCUUUGUUUAAUAUUCACAUACAUGUAGACCAAGGUGAGCGACACAGGUUCUUUAGAGCCUCUAGUUUAAAGUCUAGAAUACCUUUUUAUACAACCAUAAAAUUUUUGCAAUCAUAUAAUUAUAUUGGUAUCACAUUGCUUUGUGGUCAGCUGAGCAUCGUUCGAAGACGGAUGGUUUCCAGAUAAUAACUUUAGUAUAAGUUAAUCAUGUUAAUAGAAAUGAAUAGAAUUUUAACACAAUGUUUAAAACAACAAAAGGAAGCUUGGGAUUGAUAUUGGGGGUUAUGGUCCCUAAGGUUUAGGAUAAGGGGACCAAAACAAGCAUUUAUCUAGUUUCAGGACAAUAAGUUGUGUAUAAGUAUUUCAAUUCCUCUGAAAUUGUACCACAAUGUUAAAUAUUAUAAGAAGAAGGUUGGAAUUUAUUUUUAGGGUUAUGGGGCAAACAGUCAAGAAUGAUGGGCCAAACACAAGCAUUUUUGUAGUUUUAAGUUAAUGACUUGUGUAAAAGUGUAUGAUCUUUCUAAAAUUAUACCCCAAUGCUCUAUACUACUAUGGGAUGGUUAGGAUUGGCUAAGGAUAUAGAUAAAACCAUUUAUGAAUAAGGGGCAAAAAAGAUGAAAAACAAUUAUUUUUCUGGUUAAAGGAUAGUCAAGACAAUUUGAAAGCUGUGUAAGGGAGGUAAUCCAAAAGUUAUAUUUGAAUUAUUUCACACAACUUUUAAGGUGGUACCUAACACUACAGGGAGAUAACUCUGUAAAGUCAGCUAAACGUUUUAAUUACGUUGUGUUGUUAAAGGGAUAUUAAGCUUUUCAAUGAUCAAAAUGAGUGUUUGUCAAACUGCUAUAUAACCAGUGUAAUUUUUCUGAUAAAACGGUUGGUUCAAAAAAAUUUAAAUUUUUAUAUUUUUGUCAAAGAGUCAAAGUAAAUACUUUGUCAAAAUUUUAAGAAAAUUAAACGAGCCAAAUUAAUUUUAGUUUAAGUGUUGGGUACCACCUUAAAGAUGUGAUUUUGAAAUUUACCAACAUUUUGUUUAUAUAGAUUAGACCGUUGGUUUUCCCGUUUGAAUGGUUUUACACUAGUAAUUUUGGGGCCCUUUAUAGCUUGUUGUUCGGUGUGAGCCAAGGCUCCUUGUUGAAGGCCGUACUUUAACCUAUAAUGGUUUAAUUUUUAAAUUGUUAUUUGGAUGGAGAGUUGUCUCAUUGGCACUCACACCACAUCUUCCUAUAUCUAUAUAUAACUUCAGUAUUAAUAAAAUCCAUUGGAAAUUUGCCAAUAACUUAAGUUUAAUUAAAAAAAAUGCCAAUAGUUUUAGCAUAAGUAAAUAUAAAUCUUUGAAGUUUGAAACCACAAAAAGGAAGGUUUGGAUUGAUUUGGGGGUUAAUUUAUGGUCCCUUUGGUGUAGGAAAAAGGGGUAUAAAAGGGGCCCAAAUAAUCAAUUUUCUAUUGUCCAGACAAUAAUUUGUAGAACAGUUUAUAGAAUUGCCUGAAGUUUCCACACCACAAAACUCCAAAGGAUAGUAAGGGUUGGAAUAUUGGAGUUAUGACUCAAUCUGUUUAUGAAUUAGGAGCAACAAAAGGGGAAAAACAAGGGUUUCCUGGUUAAUGGACAAUUACUUUAGAUUUGUUUCUUUUUGUUGGUGCCUUUUUUUGCUAGUUCUUUUAUGAAUUUUUUAUGCUCUACCUACAAUAGUAGAGAAGCAUUAUGUUUUCUAGUCUGUGCGUCCUUUCGUCUGUUUGUUUGUCUGUCCAUCCAUUCUUCCCACUUCAGGUUAAUGUUUUUGGUCAAGAUAGUUUUUUGAUGAAGCUGAAGUCCAAUCAACUUGAAACUUAGUACAAAUGUUCCUUAUGAUAUGAUCUUUCUUAUUUUAAAACCAAAUUAAAGACUUUUGACCCCAUUUUUAUGGUUCACUGAACAUAGAAAUUAAAAGUGUUCCCUCAGUUUCAGGUUAAAUUUUUUUUAGUCAAGGUAGUUUUUGAUGAAGUUAAAGUCCAAUCAAUUUGAAACUUAGUACACAUUUAUCAUUAAAAAAGCUGAUUGUGUCGUUUCAUAUUGAUUAAAAUUUAUUUACCUAAUUUAUAAUUUCAGCUUUUCCAUGCAUUGUAAGAUUUCCAGAAUAUAGAACAUGUAGUUCCUGAUAAAAAAAAAACACCAAAAGAUUGCUACGAUAAAACUGUUGAGUAACUAUUUGUAAUACAGAAUGCAUCAAGAUGGUGGUAUGCUACAUAUAUAAUAUUGAUACUAUGACAGAUGAGAAAAGAAACUGAAGACAUAAUGAAAUGCUGAAGUCAGCAAAGGUAUGAUUAUAACUGUUACUGAUGUUUGAAGAAGUGUGUCAUUAUAGCAUCGACAAAUAUUUCAAUCAAACAUGGUUCAGUACUUCAGACUAGUUUUAAUUUAAAAGAAUUAAAUGGCUACUAACAUCCAUUGCUAAUUACAGCUUAUUAACCUCCUGUUAAAAAAAAGAGGGGUGAAAUAUACCAUAGCAACAUUCAAACUCAUAAAUCGAAAAUAAACUGACAACGCCAUGGCUAAAAAUGAAAAAGACAAACAGACAAUUAAUAGUACACUAGAAACAACAUUAAAAACUAAAAACUGAGCCACACAAACCCCACCAAAAAACUGGGGGUGAUCUCAGGGUCUCCAGAAGGGUAAGCAGAUCCUGCUCCACAUGUGGCACCCUUCGUGUUGCACAUGUUAUUACAAACUUGGUAUAUAUAGUUUAUUUCGGUAGGUCACAUUCAUGAAAAGGAAAGGGGAUUGCAGGUACGAAGUAAGAAACAUCCGAUAUCAUCUGUGAAAUGGUUUAUCCAUAAUGGUCAACCAACUGUGAUGAUUGGGUAACCUGUAUUAUAUUCAGGGGUGAAUUCAGACAUUUCUAAAGGGGGGGGGUUCAAACUAAAUGUCUCCAUUCAAGUGCAUUGAUCGUCUCAAAAAAAGGGGGGUUCCAACCACCGGAACCCUCCCCUUGGAUCCACCACUGAUAUUUGAGAAAUUGCCACAAUACAUUUUGUUGAUAUCAAAUUAAAGUUGAGAAGCUACGGUAAUCUAUAUAUGUUUAUCUACUUUUCAUUGUCUCUCUCUCACCUUGAUUAGUAAAUAAAUAAAAAUCAUGUUGGAAGAAAAAUUUAGUCAUGUGUAUAUGUUUUAGGAACUAAUUGUGGUAUAUUCUUCAGAUUGAAACAUGCAACAGAAAGUUCAAUCAUGACCAUAAAGCAGGCAAGACAUUUCAGUAUGUACAAUCUUGUAAAAAUAUGUCAAACUAUGUCAAAGCAUAUUUUUUGUUUUGUUUUUUCAGAUAAAGAUAUAAGGAGUAGAUAUUUUCCUGAAGAUCUCAUUUAUGUCUCGAAUGUGAAGGGAACAGAAGCUAUCAUGAUGAUUCUUUAAAGAAAAGAUACAGAAACACAAGCUCCUGUAGACACUUAUGAAAAAGAAGAUGUUUUUGCAAUGAAUAUGUGUGAAUGUGAUAAAUUAUGGCAAAUCAACAUGGUCAAUUAACAACAAUAUGUUCUACAAAUUUCUUAGAUUUAUAAGUUUCAUAACAUUUAGUUGAGGCAAACUAAAGUUAGAUAACGGAAAACGA
rnacentral:lncRNA from 1 species